GGGGCCACCGCCCACCGGUGUGCUUGAGCGUGCGCAUCUCAGCGAGAGAGAGAGAGAGAAGACGAGGGGGAGCAGGCGAGCAGAGCAGAGAUGGAGGCGUUCAGGAAGCAGGCGAGCAAGUUCAAGGAGCAGGUCGCCAAGCAGCAGCAGGCUGUGAUAAAACAAUUCAGCACUACUGGUUACGAGCGUUCAGAUUCUGUUGUCAUUGAUGAAGUUGAAUUACAGCAACAUCAAAGGCUUGAGAAAUUGUACAGUUCUACUCGUUCUGGAAGGGAUUUCCAAAAGGACAUAGUUCGAGCAGCUGAAGGCUUGGUGUCUAUUGGAAGCAAGCAUAUUGAAGUGGGAACAAAAUUUUCUGAGGAUUGCUAUAGAUAUGGAGGUGAAAAUAAUGCUGAUGGUGAAGCUCUUACAAAAGCCGCAUCACUGUAUGGAGGUGCUUUGAGAAAUGUUGAAAAAGAGUAUGAAGAUUUCAAUAGAACUUUAUGUUCUCAGAUCAUAGAUCCAUUGAAGGCGAUGGCUGUGUGUGCUCCCCUGGAAGAAGCUCGUGGUUUUGCACAACGUUAUAGCCGGAUGAGACAUGAAGCUGAGAUACUCUCUGCUGAAAUUGCUAGAAGGAAGGCACGGGUAAGAGAAUCUCCAGUUGCUGAGCACACUACAAAACUUGAGCAAUCUGAAGGUAAAAUGAUAGAGCACAAAGCAAGCAUGGCUGUGUUGGGAAAAGAGGCUGUUGCUGCACUUGGUGCUGUUGAAUCUCAGCAAAAGAGGGUAACUCUUCAGCGCCUGGUUGGCAUGGUAGAAGCAGAGAAGUUGUUCUAUUUGAGGUUAGCUGCCAUACUUGAUGAUGUUGAAGCUGAGAUGUCAUCUGAGAAGCAAAAGAGAGAGUCUGCACCUCCUUCCCGUAAGCGUGCCGAGAUGGCCCAGUACUUCCUCGCCGAGGCAGUGCAUAACUUCAAUGGUACCACAGAGAAGGAACUGAGCUUAAUUGUUGGUGAUUAUGUUGUUGUUCGUCAGAUUGCUCCAAACGGUUGGGCGGAAGGGGAAUGCAGAGCGAAGGCAGGGUGGUUUCCGGCUGCCUAUGUCGAGAGGCGCGAGAAUAUCCCCCCGAAUAAAGUCUUCCCGCAGGCAUAGUUUGGCGCCUUAGUUUCUAAUGCUUCUAGCUGUCAUGUAGAUUCGUGCUGCUUUCUGUGCAAUAACUUGGUUAUUUGUUUGUUGUAUAUCAUCUUGCACCUCCCACGAGUGGUUCAGAACAUGCCAGUUGCAAUGACGCGUUUGGUUCGGCAGUAUUCCACCAUCUUCCGAUUACACCGCUCAGCGAAGACGUUACCGGCGUUCGGCAAUAUUCUCCUGAACCGGUAUUGUCAGAUCCGCUACACCUCCUUCUAUGUAUGUGUAACACCUUAUGCCCGACAUCACCCCUCUCUUGAGAAACGACGUGCCCUCACGGCAAUUGUUGCUGAGCAUGCCAUGACUGUGUGGUCACUUUGAAG